GGGGCGUUAGUUUACAUGGUAAAAUCACGCUGUUGCAUAGCGUAGUAGCUAGUUCGAUUCUAGCACGCUCCA